GGCAUCAAAGUAGUAGGACUACCCGCUGAACUUAAGCAUAUCAAUAAGCGGAGGAAAAGAAACUAACAAGGAUUCCCCUAGUGACUGCGAGUGAAGCGGGAAAAGCUCAAAUUUAAAAGCCUUCGGGCGUUGUAAUCUAAAGAAGUGUUUUCGGUCGUUGCCUCGGAUAAGUCUCUUGGAACAGAGUGUCAAAGAGGGUGAGAAUCCCGUUCUUGCCGAGCUACCAACGUCUAUGUGAUACACUUUCAAAGAGUCGAGUUGUUUGGGAAUGCAGCUCAAAAUGGGUGGUAAACUCCAUCUAAAGCUAAAUAUUGGCGAGAGACCGAUAGCGAACAAGUACCGUGAGGGAAAGAUGAAAAGCACUUUGGAAAGAGAGUUAAACAGUACGUGAAAUUGUUAAAAGGGAAACGC
rnacentral:rRNA from 1 species